AAUCAUCUUUGCAUGUGCUGCUGCUGGUUCUGACCUCAGUGUUGAGCGGCACAACAAACCAAGCCUCUCUGACUGUGAGUCCC